rnacentral:tRNA from 1 species
AUUACUUUGACAGAAUAGUGUAAUGAAUUUAGAAUUCAUAAAUGUAUAUUAAAUUAUACAAGUAAUA